GGGCCCGUGGCUCAAUGGUUAGAGCUUUGGGCUUCUAAUCCACAGGUCACUGGUUCGAGCCUCGGGUGCU
rnacentral:tRNA from 1 species